UGGGGAAUAUUGCACAAUGGGCGCAAGCCUGAUGCAGCCAUGCCGCGUGUGUGAAGAAGGCCUUCGGGUUGUAAAGCACUUUCAGCGAGGAGGAAGGCAUUAAGGUUAAUAACCUUAGUGAUUGACGUUACUCGCAGAAGAAGCACCGGCUAACUCCGUGCCAGCAGCCGCGGUAAUACGGAGGGUGCAAGCGUUAAUCGGAAUUACUGGGCGUAAAGCGCACGCAGGCGGUUUGUUAAGUCAGAUGUGAAAUCCCCGAGCUUAACUUGGGAACUGCAUUUGAAACUGGCAAGCUAGAGUCUUGUAGAGGGGGGUAGAAUUCCAGGUGUAGCGGUGAAAUGCGUAGAGAUCUGGAGGAAUACCGGUGGCGAAGGCGGCCCCCUGGACAAAGACUGACGCUCAGGUGCGA
rnacentral:rRNA from 1 species